ACCUGAAGUAAGCAAGAUUACCCGCUGAACUU
rnacentral:rRNA from 1 species